AGCUUUGCGCAGUGGCAGUAUCGAAGCCAAUGAGGUUUAUCCGAGGCACGAUUAUUGCUAAUUGAAAACUUUUCCCAA
rnacentral:snRNA from 1 species